rnacentral:rRNA from 1 species
GGGAGGUAGUGACAAUAAAUAACAAUACGGGGUUCUUUCGGAUCUCGUAAUUGGAAUGAGUACAAUUUAAAUCUCUUAACGAGGAACAAUUGGAGGGCAAGUCUGGUGCCAGCAGCCGCGGUAAUUCCAGCUCCAAUAGCGUAUAUUAAAGUUGUUGCAGUUAAAAAGCUCGUAGUUGAAUUUCGGGAUCAGAAGGUCGGUCGUGCCAAUGGUAUGCACUGGCCUUUCUGAUUCCUCCCUCUUGAUGAGCCGUAAUGUCAUUAAUUUGGUGUUGCGGGGAAUCAGGACUGUUACUUUGAAAAAAUUAGAGUGUUUAAAGCAGGCAAGCGCUUGAAUACAUUAGCAUGGAAUAAUGAAAUAGGACGUUCGAUCCUAUUUUGUUGGUUUCUAGGAUUGACGUAAUGAUUAAUAGGGAUAGUUGGG